rnacentral:rRNA from 1 species
ACAACGAAGAGUUUGAUCCUGGCUCAGGAUGAACGCUAGCGACAGGCUUAACACAUGCAAGUCGAGGGGCAGCACAGGUAGCAAUACCGGGUGGCGACCGGCGCACGGGUGAGUAACGCGUAUGCAACUUGCCUAUCAGAGGGGGAUAACCCGGCGAAAGUCGGACUAAUACCGCAUGAAGCAGGGAUCCCGCAUGGGAAUAUUUGCUAAAGAUUCAUCGCUGAUAGAUAGGCAUGCGUUCCAUUAGGCAGUUGGCGGGGUAACGGCCCACCAAACCGACGAUGGAUAGGGGUUCUGAGAGGAAGGUCCCCCACAUUGGUACUGAGACACGGACCAAACUCCUACGGGAGGCAGCAGUGAGGAAUAUUGGUCAAUGGCCGAGAGGCUGAACCAGCCAAGUCGCGUGAGGGAUGAAGGUUCUAUGGAUCGUAAACCUCUUUUAUAAGGGAAUAAAGUGCGGGACGUGUCCCGUUUUGUAUGUACCUUAUGAAUAAGGAUCGGCUAACUCCGUGCCAGCAGCCGCGGUAAUACGGAGGAUCCGAGCGUUAUCCGGAUUUAUUGGGUUUAAAGGGUGCGUAGGCGGCCUUUUAAGUCAGCGGUGAAAGUCUGUGGCUCAACCAUAGAAUUGCCGUUGAAACUGGGGGGCUUGAGUAUGUUUGAGGCAGGCGGAAUGCGUGGUGUAGCGGUGAAAUGCAUAGAUAUCACGCAGAACCCCGAUUGCGAAGGCAGCCUGCCAAGCCAUUACUGACGCUGAUGCACGAAAGCGUGGGGAUCAAACAGGAUUAGAUACCCUGGUAGUCCACGCAGUAAACGAUGAUCACUAGCUGUUUGCGAUACACUGUAAGCGGCACAGCGAAAGCGUUAAGUGAUCCACCUGGGGAGUACGCCGGCAACGGUGAAACUCAAAGGAAUUGACGGGGGCCCGCACAAGCGGAGGAACAUGUGGUUUAAUUCGAUGAUACGCGAGGAACCUUACCCGGGUUUGAACGCAUUCGGACCGAGGUGGAAACACCUUUUCUAGCAAUAGCCGUUUGCGAGGUGCUGCAUGGUUGUCGUCAGCUCGUGCCGUGAGGUGUCGGCUUAAGUGCCAUAACGAGCGCAACCCUUGCCACUAGUUACUAACAGGUAAAGCUGAGGACUCUGGUGGGACUGCCAGCGUAAGCUGCGAGGAAGGCGGGGAUGACGUCAAAUCAGCACGGCCCUUACAUCCGGGGCGACACACGUGUUACAAUGGCGUGGACAAAGGGAAGCCACCUGGCGACAGGGAGCGAAUCCCCAAACCACGUCUCAGUUCGGAUCGGAGUCUGCAACCCGACUCCGUGAAGCUGGAUUCGCUAGUAAUCGCGCAUCAGCCAUGGCGCGGUGAAUACGUUCCCGGGCCUUGUACACACCGCCCGUCAAGCCAUGGGAGCCGGGGGUACCUGAAGUCCGUAACCGCGAGGAUCGGCCUAGGGUAAAACUGGUGACUGGGGCUAAGUCGUAACAAGGUAGCCGUACCGGAAGGUGCGGCUGGAACACCUCCUUU